AUCCAGAUGACGGGUCUCAAAUGGGAUGAAACGAGCGUCCUGGAU
rnacentral:hammerhead_ribozyme from 1 species